rnacentral:rRNA from 1 species
ACGGAAGGCAGCAGUGGGGAAUAUUGGGCAAUGGGCGCAAGCCUGACCCAGCAACGCCGCGUGAAUGAUGAAGGUCUUCGGAUUGUAAAGUUCUGUGACGGGGGACGAACACAAUGACGGUACUCCGAUAGCAAGCCACGGCUAACUACGUGCCAGCAGCCGCGGUAAUACGUAGGUGGCAAGCGUUAUCCGGAAUGACUGGGCGUAAGGGGUGCGUAGGUGGUUUGGCAAGUUGGCGGCGUAAUUCCGAGGCUCAACCUCGGCGCUACCGCCAAAACUGUCUAACUUGAGUGCAGGAGGGGUAAGUGGAAUUCCUAGUGUAGCGGUGGAAUGCGUAGAUAUUAGGAGGAACAUCAGCGGCGAAGGCGACUUACUGGACUGUAACUGACACUGAGGCACGAAAGCGUGGGGAGCAAACAGGAUUAGAUACCCUGGUA